rnacentral:rRNA from 1 species
CCUACGGGAGACAGCAGUGGGGAAUAUUGGGCACUGGAGGAAACUCUGAUCCAGCAAUGCCGCGUGAAUGAAGAAGGUCUUCGGAUUGUACAGUUCUUUAGUCAGGGAAGAAGUCAAUGACGGUACCUGAAGAAUAAGCUCCGGCUAACUACGUGCCAGCAGCCGCGGUAAUACGUAGGGAGCAAGCGUUGUUCGGAAUGACUGGGCGUAAAGGGUGCGUAGGCGGUUGUACAAGUUAGAAGUGAAAUACCCAGGGCGCAACUUCGGAAUUGACUCUGAUACUGUUCGGCUAGAGAGUAGUUGCGGUAGGCGGAAUGUAUGGUGUAGCGGUGAAAUGCUUAGAGAUCAUACAGAACACCGAUUGCGAAGGCAGCUUACCAAGCUACUUCUGACGUUGAGGCACGAAAGCGUGGGUAGCAAACAGGAUUAGAUACCCCAGUAGUC